ACAAGCUUGGAGCAAUCAAAUGCAGCUGAGGCCAAUUUAAAACAAAACAAAACAACAUCAACAAAAAUCUAUCUGUUCUCAUGGCAGGGGGAUUUGCAGAGCUGUUGCUGAACAAUAGCUCUCAGGGUAUGAAAGGCUUGCUCGGAAGUUACCCCCAUUAAGCACGUUAAGGGUUCUCACCAUGCAGGGUGCUUGCAUUGUAACCCUCUGGGGAGCUGUGCAUCAGUGUGCAAGGACAACGUGGGGGAAGAGGCAUGCAGGAAAGGAACCUUUAAAAGAAAGUGUCUGGUUACUGGACACUUGUGUCUCAUUGGUGAAAAAAAAUGGGAAAGUAAAACCUGGCAAACUAGACCCAGAGCCACCAGCACCACACCACUGUGCAGAGCAGGAAGCUCAGAGCAGCAUUCCUCGCUGCUGGCUCCAGUGGAAUUCCCCUGGCGGACAGAGCUGCCCAGCCUCAGCGUGGCUGUGUGCUCUGGAGCAGAGCGGACCCGUGCAGAAUAGAUGCAUCACUGACAGAAAUACAGCUCUGAUAAAUGCUGGCACUGAGUUAUCCACACUAAAGGCCCACACGCCAUCCUGGGCAGUGACUACAGCACAAGAGCCACUACAUUCCUUUCAUUAUUUCAGAUGGGGCUGGAACCCACACCCACUACUGUUGCUCAGCAUGAAAAUACUGUGA
rnacentral:lncRNA from 1 species